CUCUUUCCCCAAGAGAUUGCGCAGGCGACCUCCUAUGUUCCUUUGAAGAUCUCCUUACAGGUGAAGAAGACCUAUACUGGACAGGAGAAGGAGAACUUGAUCCAUAAGGCGAAGGAGACCUCCGACGAGAAGGCAUUGGUGAUCUCCUAUGGGCAGGAAUAGGUGACCUAUGUCUUGGAGAUGGAGACCUGUGAUGGGGAGUUGAUGGGGAUCUCUGAUACCUGCGGCGG
rnacentral:misc_RNA from 1 species